AGGACAGGAUCUGGCGCACAGUAAGCCUUCACUUCAUAUUAUAGUUUCUAUUUGAAGAGUUUGCCCUGAUUUUACUUUGGGAAAGGACCUUCCCAUAUUUUGAGGCCAAGGUCACAGGACCCAGGACACUGGCUGGAACGGCUGGAGGACGGACUAGCCUGCCACUGGGGGCCUAGCAUUGCAGCAGCUGACCAUCUUGGACACUACAAGGAAAGAACUCACAGACAAAGGACGGUAAGAGAGUGAGAAUGGAAGGGAGAGAGAAAGAGGUGGGUGGGGAGAGCACUGGAUGAGUCCACUCCCAAAUGCUGAUGAAAUAACAGUAGGUGGGGAGGGCACUGGAUGAGUCCACUCCCAAAUGCUGAUGAAAUAACAUGUGACUCUGAAUCUUCUUGUUCUUCUCAGUUACAGGACCCAGUGAUUUUCUCCUUCACUUAUGCCAAUUUGACUAGGUUCCUGUCACUUGCAACUUGAAGAAUCCUGACAUGAUCUGAUACAGCACAUUAAGACUCCACCUCUCUGGACACUGAUACCAGGAAUGCUCCCUUUCUCAAGGUUAGGCCAACUCCUCAGGCACAGCUCUGCCUACCUCAGUCUCCUUCUUGAGAACUUUUCUUCUUGUCACAGACCAUGCCACAGCCCCAUGGACCCUAGUAUCAUGGAGUUUCUUCAUAUGGAAGCAUAAGGGGUCUUCAACUCAGCACCUCAAAGCAUUUUACACAUCAAUCACCAACUGGAGCAGCUGAGGGGGUGGAGCUGUGGAAAAUAUUCAAAUUAACAACCUUGUCUUCCACUAAGACUACAGAACUGAUGCUAGACAAAGAGCAAAUUUGAAGGAUUUUCUUACUUGAGUUCAAAAUGGGUCAUAAAGCAGCAGAGAAAACUCACAACAUCAACAACACAUUUGGCCCAGGAACCGCUAAUGAAUGUACAGUGCAGUGGUGGUAUAAGAAGUUUUGCAAAGGAGACAAGAGGCUUAAAGAUGAGAAGCAUAGUGGCCAGCCAUCAGAAGUUGACAACAACCAACUGAGAGGAUCAUCAAAGCUGACCCUCUUACAGCUACACGAGAAGUUGCCGAAGAACUCCGUGUCAACCAUUUUACAGUCACUGAGCAUUUGAAGCAAACUGGAAAGGUGAAGGAGCUCAACAAGUGGGUGUCCCAUGAGCUGUGCAUGCAAAAGCUCAGUCGCUUCAACCAUGUCCAACUCUGGGUGACCCUGUGGACUUUAGCCUGCCAGGCUCCUCUGUCCAUGGGGCUCUCCAGGGCAAGAAUGCUGGAGUGGAUUGCCAUGCCCUCCUCAAAUGAGAAGGGGAAUGGACCUCAAAUCAAAAGAAACGCUGUUUUUGAAGGGUUGUCCUCUCUUAUUCUACACAACAAUGAACCAUUUCUCUACUGGAUUGUGAUGUGCGAUGAAAAGUGGAUUGUACAUAACGACCAGCCCAGUGGUUGGACUGAGAAGAAGCUCCAAAGCACUUCC